rnacentral:rRNA from 1 species
AACAAACGCUGGCGGCGUGCCUAACACAUGCAAGUCGUACGAGAAAGGGUCCUUCGGGGCCUGAGUAAAGUGGCGCACGGGUGAGUAACGCGUGGAUAAUCUGCCCUUCAGUUGGGAAUAACUCAUCGAAAGGUGGGCUAAUACCGAAUAAUGCUGUGAGACCUCGGUUGAGCAGCCAAAGAGAGCCUCUGCUUGCAAGCCCUCGCUGACGGAUGAGUCCGCGUACCAUUAGCUAGUUGGUAGGGUAAUGGCCUACCAAGGCGACGAUGGUUAGCUGGUCUGAGAGGAUGAUCAGCCACACUGGAACUGAGACACGGUCCAGACUCCUACGGGAGGCAGCAGUGAGGAAUCUUGCGCAAUGGGGGCAACCCUGACGCAGCAACGCCGCGUGAGUGAGGAAGGUCUUCGGAUCGUAAAGCUCUGUCGGAUGGAAAGAACCGCAUAGGGGUAAACAGCCCCUGUGUCUGACGGUACCAUCAAAGGAAGCACCGGCUAACUCCGUGCAGCAGCCGCAGUAACAC